GACGAACGCUGGCGGCGUGCUUAACACAUGCAAGUCGAACGCUGAAGACCUGGCUUUUGUUGGGUUGGAUGAGUGGCGAACGGGUGAGUAACACGUGAGUAACCUGCCCUCUUCUUUGGGAUAACGCCCGGAAACGGGUGCUAAUACUGGAUAUUCACUGAUCUUCGCAUGGGGGUUGGUGGAAAGGUUUGUUCUGGUGGGGGAUGGGCUCGCGGCCUAUCAGCUUGUUGGUGGGGUGAUGGCCUACCAAGGCUUUGACGGGUAGCCGGCCUGAGAGGGUGACCGGUCACAUUGGGACUGAGAUACGGGCCAGACUCCUACGGGAGGCAGCAGUGGGGAAUAUUGCACAAUGGGCGAAAGCCUGAUGCAGCGACGCCGCGUGAGGGAUGGAGGCCUUCGGGUUGUAAACCUCUUUCGCUCAUGGUCAAGCCGCAACUGUGGGUUGUGGUGAGGGUAGUGGGUAAAGAAGCGCCGGCUAACUACGUG
rnacentral:rRNA from 1 species